GGCGAUGAACUAUUUGGGGAUAGACUCACAUUCCCUAUUUGACGUGGUGGAGAGCUGCAUAAGGUCCGGCGGUGUCCUCACGACGGCACAGAUAGCGGAGAUAUUGCUGCGGAACAGAGGGAAUGCAAAUGUAGCAAUGAAGGAGGUGGUGGGUACAAUGCAGGCAAGAAUUUUGAGCAGCGGGAGUCACAAGGAGCAUUUGAUGGACUAUGAAGAGACGUUGACAAGGUCACCGCAGAGCAUGUUGGCGGUUGGGUCACCGGAGAAUUGGUACUCGUCGCCGGGGAGGUUUGGAGAGAAGAAGAGAAAGGAAGGUGGCAAUAAAUGGGAGAAGAAGGCAAAGUUUCUUGUUAGGCUCAGAUAUUUGACCAAGUCUGACUCUGGUGGAAGGGGGCGUGUGACUGAGGACAUUAGAUCCAGAAAAUGACAUAUGAAUGUUGGUCUCUUUGCUCACUAGACCUCCACCUAGGCCUAGCAUAGAGAAAUUUUGGGUUAUUUAUU
rnacentral:misc_RNA from 1 species